AUCCAGGUGCGCUCUUGAAUUGAAUUGCGUUUCCUUGGCUAAAAACAAACCCCGGCGCGAAUUGCGUCAAGGAACUUUAACAAGAGGAGCGCCCCCUGCUCUCGUUCGCGAGGGAAGUUACGGGGGGUAGCAUUCUUCAUGAACAUAAUGACUCUCGGCAACGGAUAUCU
rnacentral:rRNA from 1 species